rnacentral:rRNA from 1 species
UUAAUAAGUCAGUGGUGAAAGCCCAUCGCUCAACGGUGGAACGGCCAUUGAUACUGCCAGACUUGAAUUAUUAGGAAGUAACUAGAAUAUGUAGUGUAGCGGUGAAAUGCUUAGAGAUUACAUGGAAUACCAAUUGCGAAGGCAGGUUACUACUAAUGGAUCGACGCUGAUGCACGAAAGCGUGGGGAGCAAACAGGAUUAGAAACCCUAGUAGUCC